rnacentral:rRNA from 1 species
GUGGCGCACGGGUGAGUAACACGUGGAUAACCUACCCUUGANCGAGGGAUAACACUACCGGAAAGGGGUGCUAAUACCGCAUAAGACCACGGCUCCGAAAGGAGCUGAGGUAAAAGCUGGCCUCUAUAUAUAAGCUAGCACUUGAGGACGGGUCCGCGGCGCAUCAGGUAGUUGGCGGGGUAAUGGCCCACCAAGCCUUAGACGCGUAGCUGGUCUGAGAGGAUGAUCAGGCCACACUGGGACUGAAACACGGCCCAGACUCCUACGGGAGGCAGCAGUUAGGAAUAUUGCGCAAUGGAGGGAACUCUGACGCAGCGACGCCGCGUGAGCGAAGAAGGCCUUAGGGUUGUAAAGCUCUGUUGAAAGGGAAGAAUGCUGACGGAUGAAUAAUUUGGUUAGUUGACGGUACCUUUAAGAAAGCACCGGCUAACUCUGUG